GAGGGGAGAGUUGGAGUUUGUUGGUUGGGCUGUGAGGAAGAAGGAGUCAGUGCUGCAAGGAACUGCCCAUGAGAAACCACCAAGAAGCCAAACUGUUUUGAAGUGAAACUCAGAACACUUGAAGAAAACGGUUGGAGAAAAAAGUCUUUCAGUCCCAUCAAUGAUCACAGACCAAGGGAAGCCAAAUAUAUUCAGGUGUACUGUUCAGAUAGGCCUUUAAUUUUGAAACACAAUGAAUAUGGGACUAAUUUCUCUUAAAAGGGAUAAAUGUAUGAAAUUUUUGGAGGAAUGUUAGCUGAAUAAGUGUAUAAUUAAAUACAUGCAAGGGUGACAAAAUCAAUAGCUAAUAAAGUUAUGUUCAGACUGGAGUAUUACUGGACCUUUUCUCAGAGUAUUUAAUGGUCAUAUCAGUCCAAAGUUCAUAUUGAGAAGUAAAUAUGAAUGCUUCAUGCUUCUGAAUUCAAAUUCCUAUUCCUAAGUGGCUUUUGAUGAUGAUUCUUUCUGACAGUCCUGUAAAAUUAGUUGUAAAACACUAUAAAUUAUUUUGAAUUCUAAAAUCCAGUGUUGAGGAAAAUAAGAUCAGCCCUCUAUUUUCAAACAGCAAAGAAACACAAAGGAAGAAAAAGAGAUAAAAUGUCUUUACUAGAAAGUGCAGCAGCCACACCAUUGAAGUUGCAGAAAGAAAAGGCAGUAACUGGGAGAAUGAAGAACUGCCAGCUGUAGGAGAAGAUAAAGUUCUUGAAAAUCUCAGGACACCAAAGGUACACAAGUCCUUGAGACCUGAUGAGAGGCAUCCUUGGGUCUUGAGGAAACUGGUGGCUGAAGUUGCUAAGCCACUGUCCAUUAUACUGGGAUGAUGUGGUGGUCUGGUGGAGCUCCCACUGAGGGAAAAAGGGAAACAUAAUUUCAUUUUUUAAUAAGAUUAAAAAAAUGAAAGCACUAAAGAACAACAGAUAGUCUCAACUUGGUGUAGGCAAGAUCAUGGAGAAGAUAAUCCUGGAAUCUCUACUAAGACGCCUGGAAAAUAAGGAGGUUAUUUAUGAAAGCUGACAUGGCUUCUCUAAUGGCAAUUUGCAUCCAACAAAUUUGGUGGCUUUCUGUGACAAGCUUACAGUCUUGCUGGAUAAGGGAAGAGUAACAGAUGUCAUCUACCUGGAUUUGUGUAAAACAUUUGGCACUUUCCUGGACAACAUUCCUGUCCCUAUGGCAUGGAUUGGAUGGACCACACAGUGGAUAAGGAAUUGACACUCAAAGCAUUGAAGUCAAGAGCUCAAUGUCCAAAUGGACACCAGUGGUGAUGGUGCCCUUCAGGAGUCAGUGUUGGGACUGGCAUUGUUUGACAUCUUUGUCAGCAGCACAGACAGUGAGAUUCAGUACACUCUCAGCAAGUUUGUCCACAACUCCAAGCUGUGUGGUGUGAGCAACAUAAAGAAGGGAAGAGAUGCCAUCCAGAGGGACCAGGUGAACCUCAUGAAGUUUAUCGAGGCCAAGUGCAAGGUCAUACACGUUGUUCAGGCUAAUUCCAGCCACAGAUACAGGCUGGGCAGAGGCCUGUAUGCCUCCUAGAGGAAUGGAUUGAGAGCAGCCCUGAGGACAAAGACUUGGGAAUAUGAGUUGUUGUGAAGAGUGACAUGACCUAGUAAUGUGUGCUCACUCUUCACCAAGACAGCUAUACCCUGAGCUGUAUCAAAAGCAGAAUGACCAGCAUGUUGAAGGAUUUGAUUCUGUACCUGUAUUCAACUCUCCUGAGACUCAGCUGGAGCACUGGUUCCAGCUCUAAAUAUUUACCCAUUGGAGGAAGUCCAGAGGAGUGCCUUGAAGCAUCUCUUCUAUGAAGAUGGGCUGAAAGAGUUGAGGCUAUUUAGUUUGGAGAAGAAAAGACUCCAGGAAGGCCUGAUUGCAGCUUUCCAGCACCUAAAUUUGGGCAGGGAUUUUUCAAAAGGGCAUAUAGUGAUAAGACAAGGAGAAAUAGCUUUAAAACAAAAGUGGGUACCUUUAGAUCAGAUACAAAGAGGACAUGCUUUACAUGAAGCAUGAAGUGGGUAAGGCAUUGAAACAGAUUGUUCAGAGAAGCUGUGGAUGCUGCUUGUCUGGAUGUGUUCAAGACCAGUUAGAUGGGGCUUUGAGUCUCUUGGCCUGGUGGAAGGUGUCCCUGUCCAUGACAAAGAGCUUGAAACUAGAUAAUCCCUAAGGUCCCUUACAAGCCAAACAAUUCUAUAACUCUAUAAAUGUUUAUUCUUUAAAAAUCACCAUGAAAUAUGAAUCAUUUUGAAUGAGGUUCUAGCCUUGAAAGAGGGUGGUAUCAAUUUCCAUGUAUUAAAAGGAAUUGCAUACACUGCACAGCUGUUGUACCUAAUCCUUACAAGCAGUGAAGCUAAUUAGCCUUGGCACAGCAACACACUGACAUUGCCAUGUUGCUUGGGCUCUGUCAGAGUAGCUCAGGUAUCUCCACGGAACGGAACAGUUCAAUGCAUGCAUACACAACAGGAAUCAAAUUCUCACUUCCCAUACUCCACUGCUUAGAUAAUGCCAACUCUGAAAUCAAAUAAUGUCGCUAAUUAAAGGAGCAUUUUUAGCAGAAAGGAAAGUCAUGCUAGCAGAUUGCAGCUGAGUAGGGAGGGGAAAGAAAUGAUGAGGACACAAACCUGAGAAAUAAAGUGUGAAAAAGAAUGUAACGAAGAAAUGUUUAUCAUUUUAGAUUCUUGCUCUGCCAUACAGCUCAAUGUAGUAAUUUAAAUCAAAACUAUAAAAUUCCAGGUAAUAUAGUAAAUCCUGCAGCUACCAUGAGGGUGAACAACAUUCCAGGUGGCUGAGACAAGAGUCCUCAUAAUCUUAAAUAUUGCUUCUAGUUAACAAUUAUUUUUUCCUCUGAAAUACAAUGAAAAAUUCCUUUUUCUUACAUAUAAUUCACUUACUUUCUGGGACUUGGCCUCACUUUAGAAAAAGCAAUGAGAAAAUUGUACAGAAGCAUGACAACUUUUCGUAAUAAAAAAUUAAAUUAUCGCCUAUGCUUACAUUAGAUGUUUUUAUCUCUACCUAUUUUAUGUCUUCAUAAGCAGCUAAAUAUUUUUUCCAGUGAUACUAUCCCUGAUA